rnacentral:rRNA from 1 species
CAGUGGGGAAUAUUGCACAAUGGGCGCAAGCCUGAUGCAGCAACGCCGCGUGAGGGAUGACGGCCUUCGGGUUGUAAACCUCUUUUGUCCAGGAAGAAGCCAGCUUGCUGGUGACGGUACUGGGAGAAAAAGCACCGGCUAACUACGUGCCAGCAGCCGCGGUAAUACGUAGGGUGCGAGCGUUGUCCGGAAUUAUUGGGCGUAAAGAGCUCGUAGGCGGUUUGUCGCGUCUGCUGUGAAAUCCCGAGGCUCAACCUCGGGCCUGCAGUGGGUACGGGCAGACUAGAGUGCGGUAGGGGAGAUUGGAAUUCCUGGUGUAGCGGUGGAAUGCGCAGAUAUCAGGAGGAACACCGAUGGCGAAGGCAGAUCUCUGGGCCGUAACUGACGCUGAGGAGCGAAAGCGUGGGGAGCGAACAGGAUUAGA